rnacentral:rRNA from 1 species
UGCCAGACUCCUACGGGAGGCAGCAGUGAGGAAUAUUGGGCAAUGGGCUUACGCCUGAACCAGCCAAGUCGCGUGAGGGAUGACGGUACUAUGGAUUGUAAAACUCUUUUGUCAGGGAGCAAAGGGCGCCACGUGUGGCGCUUUGCGAGUACCUGAAGAAAAAGCAUCGGCUAACUCCGUGCCAGCAGCCGCGGUAAUACGGAGGAUGCGAGCGUUAUCCGGAUUUAUUGGGUUUAAAGGGUACGCAGGCGGAAUGUAAAGUCAGCGGUAAAAUUUCGGGGCUCAACCCCGUCGUGCCGUUGAAACUGGCGUUCUUGAGUGAGCGAGAAGUAUGCGGAAUGCGUGGUGUAGCAGUGAAAUGCAUAGAUAUCACGCAGAACUCCGAUUGCGAAGGCAGCAUACCGGCGCUCAACUGACGCUCAUGCACGAAAGC